GCAAACUUGGUCAUUUAGAGGAAGUAAAAGUCGUAACAAGGUCUCCGUUGGUGAACCAGCGGAGGGAUCAUUACCGAGUUAUCACAACUCCAAACCCAUGUGAAUCAUACCUUUUGUUGCCUCGGCGGUUGAUGAGGAGCGGCGCUCGCGCCCUCCCCUUUCGCCGCCGGUGGACACCCAAACUCUUUUGCAUUUUAUGUCAAUCUGAGUAGACUAUAUAAAUAAGUCAAAACUUUCAACAACGGAUCUCUUGGUUCUGGCAUCGAUGAAGAACGCAGC
rnacentral:misc_RNA from 1 species